rnacentral:misc_RNA from 1 species
GCAUGGACGCGUCCAUGC